rnacentral:tRNA from 1 species
CAGUGGUUUAGUGGUAAAAUCCAUCGUUGCCAUCGAUGGGCCCCGCGUUCGAUUCGCGGCUG